rnacentral:rRNA from 1 species
UGGGGAAUUUUGCGCAAUGGGGGAAACCCUGACGCAGCGAUGCCGCGUGAGUGAAGAAGGCCCUUGGGUUGUAAAGCUCUUUCGGCCGGGAAGAAGGGUCUGCUUACAAAUAGUAUGCAGAUUUGACUGUACCGGAAGAAGAAGCACCGGCUAACUCCGUGCCAGCAGCCGCGGUAAUACGGAGGGUGCAAGCGUUGCUCGGAAUCAUUGGGCGUAAAGGGCGCGUAGGCGGGCGCGUAAGUCGAUUGUGAAAGCCCUGGGCUUAACCUGGGAACUGCAGUCGAUACUGCGUGUCUUGAGUGCUUGAGAGGGUACUGGAAUUCCUGGUGUAGAAGUGAAAUUCGUAGAUAUCAGGAGGAACACCGGAGGCGAAGGCGGGUACCUGGCGAGCAACUGACGCUGAGGCGCGAAAGUGCGGGGAGCAAACAGG